rnacentral:rRNA from 1 species
GAUGAACGCUGGCGGCGUGCCUAAUACAUGCAAGUCGAGCGAAUGGAUUAAGAGCUUGCUCUUAUGAAGUUAGCGGCGGACGGGUGAGUAACAUGUGGGUAACCUGCCCAUAAGACUGGGAUAACUCCGGGAAACCGGGGCUAAUACCGGAUAACAUUUUGAACCGCAUGGCUCGAAAUUGAAAGGCGGCUUCGGCCGUCACUUAUGGAUGGACCCGCGUCGCAUUAGCUAGUUGGUGAGGUAACGGCUCACCAAGGCAACGAUGAUUAGCCGACCUGAGAGGGUGAUCGGCCACAAUGGGACUGCGACACGGCCCAGACUCCUACGGGAGGCAGCAGUAGGGAAUCUGCCGCAAUGGACGAAAGUCUGACGGAGCAACGCCGCGUGAGUGAUGAAGGCUUUCGGGUCGUAAAACUCUGUUGUUAGGGAAGAACAAGUGCUAGUUGAAUAAGCUGGCACCUUGACGGUACCUAACCAGAAAGCCACGGCUAACUACGUGCCAGCCGCCGCAGUAA